GUCUCUGUCUCUGAUAGGUUGGCAGGGUGUGGACUGCUCCAUCCCGUGCUCCAGUGGUACCUGGGGACUGAGCUGCAACCAGACCUGUCAGUGUGCCAACGAGGCGGCCUGCGACCCCUCCAACGGCACCUGCACCUGCUCCCCGGGCUGGAGGGAUGAGUACUGCGACUUACCGUGUCCUGAGGGGUCAUAUGGGCUAGACUGCAGAGAGAGAUGCGACUGUUUCAACGCAGACGGAUGUGAUCCGGUGACCGGCUUCUGCCGCUGCCUUGCAGGCUGGACCGGUGUCCAUUGCGACAGUGUUUGUGAGGAGGGACGCUGGGGGCCAAACUGCUCCUACAGCUGCACCUGUGAGAACGGAGGCUCCUGCUCCCCGGAGGACGGCACCUGUGUGUGCGCUCCGGGCUACCGUGGCACCAACUGCAGAAGGGCCUGUUCCCCUGGUUUCUACGGACAUCGUUGCAGUCAGUCGUGUCCUCAGUGUAUCCAUAGCGACGGGGCGUGCCACCAUGUCACCGGCCACUGUGAAUGUCUCUCUGGCUUCUUCGGCUCCCUCUGUA